AACGAACGCUGGCGGCAUGCCUAAUACAUGCAAGUCGAACGAACACUUCGGUGUUAGUGGCGCACGGGUGCGUAACGCGUGGGAAUCUACCCUUGGGUUCGGAAUAACAGUUAGAAAUGACUGCUAAUACCGGAUGAUGACGUAAGUCCAAAGAUUUAUCGCCCAAGGAUGAGCCCGCGUAAGAUUAGCUAGUUGGUAGGGUAAAGGCCCUACCAAGGCUACGAUCUUUAGCUGGUCUGAGAGGAUGAUCAGCCACACUGGGACUGAGACACGGCCCAGACUCCUACGGGAGGCAGCAGUAGGGAAUAUUGGACAAUGGGGGGAAACCCUGAUCCAGCAAUGCCGCGUGAGUGAUGAAGGCCUUAGGGUUGUAAAGCUCUUUUACCCGAGAUGAUAAUGACAGUAUCGGGAGAAUAAGCUCCGGCUAACUCCGUGCCAGCAGCCG
rnacentral:rRNA from 1 species